GAUGAACGCUGGCGGCGUGCUUAACACAUGCAAGUCGAACGGAAAGGCCCAAGCUUGCUUGGGUACUCGAAUGGCGAACGGGUGAGUAACACGUGGGUGAUCUGCCCUGCACUUCGGGAUAAGCCUGGGAAACUGGGUCUAAUACCGGAUAGGACCACAUUUUGGAUGGUGUGGUGGAAAGUUUUUCGGUGUGGGGUGAGCUCGCGGCCUAUCAGCUUGUUGGUGGGGUAAUGGCCUACCAAGGCGUCGACGGGUAGCCGGCCUGAGAGGGUGUACGGCCGCAUUGAGGCUGAGAUGCGGCCCAGACUCCUACGGGAGGCAGAAGUGGGGAAUAUUGCACGAGGGGCGCAAGCCUGAUGCAGCGAGGCCGCGGGGGGGAUGACGGGCUUCGGGUUGUAAAAUCCUUUCGCUAGGGACGAAGCGUUAUGUGACGGUACCUGGAGAAGAAGCACCGGCUAACUACGUG
rnacentral:rRNA from 1 species